rnacentral:rRNA from 1 species
UACGUAGGGGGCAAGCGUUGUCCGGAAUUAUUGGGCGUAAAGAGCGUGUAGGCGGUCCGGUAAGUCAGCUGUGAAAGUCAAGGGCUCAACCCUUGAAAGCCGGUUGAUACUGUCGGGCUAGAGUCCGGAAGAGGCGAGUGGAAUUCCCGGUGUAGCGGUGAAAUGCGCAGAUAUCGGGAGGAACACCAAUGGCGAAGGCAGCUCGCUGGGACGGUACUGACGCUGAGACGCGAAAGCGUGGGGAGCGAUCCGG